CCUACGGGAGGCAGCAGUGAGGAAUAUUGGUCAAUGGUCGGGAGACUGAACCAGCCAAGCCGCGUGAGGGAGGAAGGUACAGAGUAUCGUAAACCUCUUUUGUCAGGGAACAAAGGCGGGGACGUGUCCCCGGAUGAGUGUACCUGAAGAAAAAGCAUCGGCUAACUCCGUGCCAGCAGCCGCGGUAAUACGGAGGAUGCGAGCGUUAUCCGGAUUUGUUGGGUUUAAAGGGUGCGCAGGCGGUCUGUUAAGUCAGCGGUCAAAGCCCGGGGCCAAACCCCGCCCCGCCGUUGAAACUGGCAGUCUCGAGUUGGAGAGAGGUAUGCGGAAUGCGCGGUGUAGCGGUGAAAUGCAUAGAUAUCGCGCAGAACUCCGAUUGCGAAGGCAGCAUGCCGGCUCCACACUGACGCUGAGGCACGAAAGCGUGGGUAUCGAACAGGAUUAGAUACCCCUGUAGUC
rnacentral:rRNA from 1 species